GAUUUUGCAAACCCUAAUUUAGAAUAUUAUUGAUGAAAUUAUACUAAAUUUACAUUUAUUUCCAACUUAAAAACCCUAUUCUAAUUUUUUUUCUAUUUUUCAGAUAAUUUCAAAUCAUUUUUGGCUUUUUCUAUGUCGUCGACAUGCCCCGCCGUGCCGACACUCAACACAUCGAUACGAGGUGGCACAUGCAAUGCCGGCCAAUGGUCGGUACGUCAACUCGGACCAAUAAGGCAAGAUACAAAUACAUGAAUGAACUAGUAUGUACCAAUCAACAUUGUACAAGCCCAAAUUGCCAAGGGUGUGUCUCCACACCCACAAUAGAGCAGGACACAAUACCUUACUUGUAUUGUACACAUUAAAUAACAUGCCUUGGUAAAGUCAGUAUAGAUAUCCUGCUUGAUACUUCCCAGGACAAGUAUGUAACUAAUCCAAGUCAAGAAAUAGACACUUUCUUCUCGAAGUCCAAUAGUAAUUGGUUUAGGCUUAGGAUUAAAAUAGUCUAUAUUCAAUAAAGGUAUAUAUAUUCAAUCCUGUUUGACCACAAAUUUGACUUAUGAGGAUUAAGUAACAUGAAAAGAGUUUUGAUGGUUAAUGGUUUUAGUUAUUGCUGACGUCUCUUCAUUCAGCUUGUUGUUUUUCUUAUUGCCUCUCUUUCAGAUGCCUUUUUCUUAUUUCCUUAUUCCACAUUCUUUUAACAGACUUCUUCCUGCUUUUAAAUUUGAUAAAAUUACCAAAAAAAGUCCCAAUAUUUUGGAACUCAUUUGUUUGUUCACUUAAUCCUGUUUUCCUACAAUAUUAAGUACAUCAGUUUUACACCAUGUAAAAGUAUCCCAAGUACCCUCUUUUGCCCACAAACCUUUACCGGACAGCAUCAUUAAGAUACCAGCAGUGUCCAAGCCGCUUGUUAAUUAAGAAGUUUGGUAUGCUAGUUGAAUCUGGUUACAAAUGCUUUUAGCCUUUUCAGUGAAACAAAGAUGAGUUAGCCCAAGUAAAAUCUCCUCAAGGUUAACAUCAACCAUGAACAUGACUUCCAAGGUGGACACUCUCUAAACUUGAACACAGUGAUUUAAAAAGCGCUUUUGGCGCCUAGGUACCAAAACGCCCGAGGCGUUAGGCGCUUGCCCAAGCGAAACGAGACGCUCUAAAAUAUUAAAAUAUAAUAAACAUAUAAUAUUAUUAAUCUAAUAAAUAAAGAUUAUUUUGUACAGUAAUUAAUAAUCUACUAUUAGCAGCAUAUUAUUUAAUGUUAACAGCAGUUAGAAGGGAAGAAUAUAACUAUUAAAAGAGAUCAAAAUAUCACCCAAUUAAAUCGAUAGUAAGAAAUCAGAACUCAGAAGAGAAGCAGCGGAUAACAGCCGCGGCAGCAAAUAGCAGCAGUAGCAGUGGAGUCACGGACAACAACAGCGACAGCGGUAGCGAACAGCAACGGAAGCUAAGGAGACUCGGUCGAUGACAAAGGAAGACUCGAAGGUAGCAGGAGAAAUCAUCGACAACAAAGGCAAAGGGAGAAAUCGUCAACGGCAGAGGCAAAGGGAGAAAGCGAACGCUAGGGUUGGGAGUCAAGGUCGCGCACAGGUUUUGAGGUAACUGCGUGCGUUAGUUGGCUCAAUCGAACCAACAAAUGCACAUUUAACCGAACUCGGUUGCCUUAUAUCAACCAGGUCCUCACAGGAAUCGCCCGGUGCCCAGGCUAGAACGAGCGCCCAAGCGAUGCCUUUGAAGCGCGCUGCCUGGCCAUUAUAUGAGGCGCGAUGCCUUAUUGAAGCACGCCGCCUGGCCCUUAUAUAAGGCACUAAGGGCUCGCCUUGCCUAGCCCGAGCGCUCGAGCAACUUUUUAAAUCACUGCUUGAACAUUAAUUAACAGAUUCAAUAGCCAGCCAUUGUAAACAACCUGCAUAUUGUCACGGACAAACUUCUAAACAGGAUGUUUGAUGUAAUGCUUAUGUAUGUCCGUGUCUUUUGGUAUGUUCAUGCCUUGUACAGCAUGUAGAGGGACGACCGAAGGCUUAAUAGUCCCAUUUUAGUUGGGUUGGUGGCCUCUUUAGGCUUGUAAAUAAAGGUUGUGUCAUGUGGACACGUGCGAGAGAUUUUCGGUCUGUAAUGGACCAUUUUACCCUUUGUUGUGCAACUGUUCAGAACUUGUAAAGUCUGUUUGUAAUUUGCAUUGUCUAUGAAGUGUUUUUCGGAUAUGUUUGCUUGUGGAUCCCGAUUGAGGCGUUCUCUCUAACCCGUUCUCUCUUUUGUUGGUCCUAAGGGNNNNNNNNNNNNNNNNNNNNAGAGAUGUUGCUCCAAUGGGAUAGUUAUCCAAGAGGGAUAAGUCCCGGCUCUCCAGAGGGAGAAUCAUGUGGGACGGACCUCACAAGUUGAGGAGUACCUCAACAAACAACUCUACGAAGCUCAAUGGACUAAGCAAGCAGCGAGGAGUCGUUGCAUGAUCUCGCUCGAGAGAAUGCAUUGGUGGAUGCAUUGCGAGAUAAAGUGGGGGAGCGACCCAAAACAACUUAAAUGAAGGCACACUUGGAGUCGAUGUGGAGAUCGGACUCAAGGGAGGGCUGACCCGUGAAAUGGUGGGCGCGAGGGCCACCAUCGACUCAAUGCAAAAACGAGGAGCGGAGCAACUUGGGUGUAACUUGGAGAAGUACCCAAGCCGCAUGAAGGGAGCCAACAUAGAAGUUGGAACAUGGAGCGGAGGCACAGUGCUUUCCUUGGACAGAGGUCAAGGACAUGAACUCUUGCAGAGGCAAGAGUAGAAUCAUGUUGUUCUAUGGGUUCUUCAUCCUGACGGAGCGGACUCAUCUUGCAUGGUGCCAAAGACGAAAGGAGCUUCUGGGCACAUGCACCUUAUCUCGGAGAAGCAUUUGAUGAAGGAACUAAGGCGACUCAAUUUGCGGAGGCGAAAUUGGGUUCAGAAGGCCUUAGCACGGGGCAAGAGGACUCAGAGGUGGGUACUCUUGAAGAAUAUGCCACAGUGUUGCCAUUCAAGUUGUCAUGAAGGAAGAGGUGCGCAGCGGAGAUUGUGCUGGUAGGGGUAGAGACCCAGGAUCCAGACAAUGGUGCACAAAUUACCGUGAAGUCGGUGGACUUCGGGAGCUACUAGGCGACGGACUGUCCUAGAGCGGUGCUUCAUCUAAGUAUGACCCAAGAGUGGGUAGAUGAAGGUCGAUUGCCAAAGGAGCGAACAAAAUCGAAGGUGGAAGAGACCCUACGAUGUAUUGGCAGAGGCCACACAUGGAGGGUUCACAAUUCGAGUUUAUUCCACAAGGAUCAGAAUGCAAUGGAGAUGUCACUAGGAGGCGACAUGGUGCAGCGGAUCGUGGUGGAACAGUUCGUGGCAAUGCGAUACACACGACAUAGUCCCGUGAGGGACUAGAUCAUAUGGAGGUAUGAUCGGGAGCAACUGGAAGCUCCACUUCGGUGAACAACACGACGGCAAGAAGGGCUAUGGAUUCAAGGAGUGAAGGCCAUGGUACCGCAGAGGCGGGUCUUCCGUGCGUGCAUCGAAUUUUGCAUCGGAUGAAAGCCUUGGUCAUCAGCAUAUGGGGGCUGUGUUCCACCAAGGGAAAAGUUCGAAUGCAAGUACCAAUGAGUCCCAUGGGAGGGACUUGAUCAUGCAGAGGUAUGAUUGAAGCAGCUGGAGAGUUGGACUGCUCCAGAGCUCAUAUUCGCUUAAGGGGGCCCGGCAAGUCAGAGGACUUGGUCGAGUAAGCGAACGUUGCUACCAAGGAAGCUAAGGAGAACAGAAUCGGUGCAAACCCUGCAACGUGAUGGUAGAGGUCAUGCAUGGGAGUUGCAGUCUGUCUUUCCAUCGACCAAACGGACUGCUUGGAGAACACAGAGGUGUUGAAGCAGGGGGUCGAAAGGGGCGAGGAAGCGACGACGAGUCCAGAGGGACUUAGCUACCCAAAAUCAAGCAUCAGUUAGAAUGUAGGUGGACUCAGAAGUGUGCCACGGAGACAUCUACUGAUCGUGAAGAAAAGGGAUGCAGAUGCGAGGCGACGGAUAGUAGGGCCAUGGGCAUGGCAGCGCCAUGGUACCGCGGAGGCGGGACUUCCGUGAAAGUCAUUAAUCCCUUGCUCUCAUGGAGGGAGAGCGCUUGGUCGUGAAAGGGGCCGAGGAGGUGGAGAAUGCAGAGGCAAUCUCCAAGUACCGAGACAAGGCUGAAGGGCAGAGGCCGAAGAACUUCAUAAGACCGGUGUCAAUGAGCUUCUCAUCAAGAUAGACGAAAGUGAAGGACUUCGGGUCAUGCAAGAGUGCAUAACCAAGGAACGAAGCAGGCAGUACGCGGUGCUGUACCUUCGCUACUCAGGGGAGUAGGCGGCAAGGUCGAUUGAGAAGAUGAUACAAUCCCAGAGGCGACCAAACCUAUGAGAGAAUUACUCCAAGUUGGGGUGAAAACUUCCUGCAUUCCAGAAGUUCGAUAGCAUUGAGAAGGUGAAUCACAGUAACUAACUCAACGCAAGGAGUGCAAACACUUCAAGUGCUUCAGAAGUGUGAGCAAAGAGCAGGCAAAGGCUAGUAACCAGCUCGAUGCAUGGAGUACAACCUCGAGGAGGCGAGCGAAGUCAAGUAACCUUUGCCUUCUCAACCCUUAAGAGAAUGGGCGAAACCGAGUACCCCAAUUCUCUUAUCUAUCCAGCAGAGGAGCUCUGCACAAGUUCAAAGACCCUUCGAAGAUAAUGGAAGACAAUAGUUGUCAAAUCCUCACCAACGGUGAUCAGUGCUACUGAGAGUAGAUUGUCCGCUUCAUUUCCUAACGAAAUGUCAAUCGAAAGCGGAAGUGAUGCGAACCUACUUGGAUGUGACAACUAAGUGAAAGAAGAGUCAAUGAGCAAAUUUUGUGCAGAAAGGACCCAAAACUUCAGAAGUUUACGAGACGAUGCUCGUUAAAGCUCCAACAAGCAUCCACCCAGUUCAAGCAGCGUGAGGAAUUUGAGAGACUGACGCAUUAAGGAUGGUCUUUUCCUUCAUCUAGGGGAUCUGCAGGAAUCAACAAGGAUCAACACAACUCAGCCAACCCCACACCAGAGUCAGAGUCAUUGGUGAGUUGAAGCAGCAUGGCGGAUUAAAAGGUUCGACUACUCAAAAACAGCAGCAGGGAGCAGCUGGGAGCCAAGAGGCGCAUUGUAGCUGGAGCAGAAGAUUGAAGACUCGGCAAAGGCGAGGAGUUGCAGUGUCGACAAAGGCUUCAACGAGGACGUCGAAGGAAUAAGUGGGGGAGAAUGUCACGGACAAACUUCUAAACAGGAUGUUUGAUGUAAUGCUUAUGUAUGUCCGUGUCUUUUGGUAUGUUCAUGCCUUGUACAGCAUGUAGAGGGACGGUCGAAGGCUUAAUAAUCUCAUUUUAGUUGGGUUGGUGACCUCUUUAGGCUUAUAAAUAAAGGUUGUGUCAUGUGGACACGUGCGAGAGAUUUUCGGUCUGUAAUGGACCAUUUUACCCUUUGUUGUGCAACUGUUCAGAGCUUGUAAAGUCUGUUUGUAAUUUGCAUUGUCUAUGAAGUGUUUUUCGGAGAUGUUUACUUGUGGAUCCCGAUUGAGGCGUUCUCUCUAUCCCGUUCUCUCUCUUGUUGGUCCUAAGGGACAAUGGGAGGCUUCGAGGAGGCUGACCUUUGCGGACGGACACGCAAGGGUGCCGCACGACUUAAGCAAAACCAGCUAAGUCCGUGACAAUAUGUUGAAAUUCAUACUAGCACCAUCAAACUUGACAUGUGCAUAAGAAUACUAUUAAUUUCUAAAAAAUUUACUUUCUAGAUCCUCCUAUGCUCAACUAUAGAAGUUUUCUUUUCUCAAGCUUGAACUGCAAGAGAUCCCUACCUCUGCUAGAGCAAUUGCUUAAUUACUCAGCGACACACAACUCAAACGAAUUCUUAGCAGAAUGCCAUCAAAGUUACCAAAUAGAUUCUCAAACUAUAAUAACUAUGUAUAUAUGGUUCCGAAAAAUACUAGGGAUGUACACCAUAAACCACAUGCUAACCACAGGUAGAGCUAGAUAACUUAAUACAUGAACAACAACAAAACCAAUAACAACAUAGUAGCUAAAUAGCUUCUCAGGAUCUAAUGAUAAAGAAGAGAGCUCCAACGGAACUAGAGUAGCUCAUUCAACUUUAAAUGUCAUGGAGUACUAUAGCUAAGCAACAAAAUCCAUAGGAAUUUGACACAAAAUAACAAGGCAUAAGAAAGAGGCCAUAUGAAAUUUGAUUUACAAAAGAUUCUACAUUUCACAUUGAAAUGGAAUCGUUAGAACAUAAGCCAAGCGAACUAUGCAAAUUGUGAAGUAAGAGUCAUAAAAGCUUUAUAAGCCAGUCAAGCAGAAACCUAGCCAUUUGACCAUAUGCACAUGCAGAACCAUAAGAUAACUUGGACUAAUCUCAAUUACCAAAAUUCUAGCAUUAAACAAAAUUGUUACAUAAGUUCUAGGAGAAGAUAGGAAUUACAUGUAAGUGUUGCACAUUAACCUAAAGGUGACAGAAUGAAACAUAAAUAUCUAUCAUCGUAGAGAUCAAAGAUUACAGAAAAUUAAAGAUACAUGACAAAGUAAUGAAAGUCAAGUAUCUAAUAAAAAGAUAAUUUCGAAAAUGAUAACAGAGAAGUGACUUACUUUCUUCUUGAGGCAGCACUGCAGAAAAUGCAACGAACAAAGAGAAGGAAGCAACAAAAAUAAGUCAGAUGUCAAGUUAGAAAAUGCAUAAAAAAGCCAAAUUUUUCAAAGUUAUUGCUACUAAACAAGCAUAGAGUUGACAAGGAGUAACUAUUUUACAUUAAAUUAUUAUUUUACAGAACAGAGAUUGAAUGCUAUUCAGUUGUAAUAGUGUCAAAAAAGGUGAGAAAGCUACAAUUACAGGUAUAAGAAUUUCCUUCUCAUGUAUGUUUUGGCAAUUUCAGGAAGAAAUUAGUGAUGAACUUUUAAAGUUCACCUUAGACUAGUAGCACAAAAGAGUGCCAAAAAAAUAUUGAAGAAUACAAGUGGCACACAACAUUCACACCAUAAAUUUAAAGCAUUCAGUUGUGGCAUGUUAGAAAAAAAAUGCAUACCGGUAAAGUACAUAAAAACCAUGUUGUUAGGCAUGCCCACACCACAUACCGCUGAGCAGGUAUCAUUAAUUGGCACAACCCAAGAAUCAUGGCAAUUAACUUGCCAGUGUCAUGGUAAUUAUAAUGCUAACACCAAGUGCAAUGGGAGAGAAUGUCAAAACAACUGACAACAUAAUUCACACCCCCAAACACAUCAAAAUUAGGUAUUGACUGCCCAUAGCAAUAAUUUCAAUUUAACAAAGUAAAAAUGGAUCAUUGAACAAAUUGCUUGAAUCAUCAACAUGCAAUCUAGAUUUUCAGUUUCUUUGUCAUAUGCUUCUACCGGCAGUUGCCAACGGUUGUCUGCUUCUUGGAAUAACUCAAACAGAUCUAAUCCCAACAAUAAUUUGUAGCAUUUAAGCAUAUGCUACUACAGUUGAUGACUACAUUACGUAUGUUAUGACAUGACAAUUUUUAUGUGCAUGGUCAAACAGCCAAUGCCCAUAUGUGGGUAUGAAAGCUGUACAGAUGCAUAGAUAUGUCACAAGUGUCGAUUCCCCACUAUUGGAACAUAGCAGAUGACACAAGACAACAUAACCAUCCAUAGUAUUUCUUUUAAAUUGAUUCCAGAGAUUAAUAAUUACUGCCAAGAAAUUAUCUAUUUUUCUAUCUUGUUCCUCCAUCUUUUCCACUGCAAUCUUCAGUCCUGAUAUUUUCGAUUGGUAAAAUUUUCUUCAAUAGUCUUAUUCAAUUUACUGAAUAUUCCCUCAUGCAACUAAUACUGUUUGUUCCAACCCACAUAUUGAAUCAAGUUCAACAACAGCUCUAGUACCAAUCUAAGGCAGUCUCAGUGUUAUCUACGUUUAUUUAAAUAAUCGCAGGAUGAAACCCAAUCAAUAAAGUCGUGAUUAAAUCAACUCAUCAAGAACCAUAAAUCCAAUUAAUAAUGUAUAAGAGAUAGUAAACAAUGACAAAUAUUUUAUCAGGGAUAACAUAAAACUUAGCUUGUUAAAAGAUAGCAACAAAGAUUAAAAAAAUAUAAAAUAGAGAUCAUAGAAGGUGAAGAAGACGGGAAGUGGUGACAAACAAAUUUCUUGUUGUAAUCAAAAUGAAGAAGGUUGGAAGUGGUGACAAACAAAUUUCUACUUCCACAUUACAACAAGGCACACCUUGAUAUUAUAGUAGUGGAACUCCUUCCAUUAGAUUCAUCCAAAUAACCUAAUCAAGGUAAGAUAUCAAUUGUUCAAAAACAGAAAUAAUCAAUCACAUACUAGGGCAGCUUCACAGAUAAGCAAUUAGUAGUUUCCUAUUGUCCAAUGACCCUUAGUAAAAACUAUGAUAGAAAAGAGAUCAAUAAUAUAUCACGGCAACUCGAUGAGCAAUCAUAGUUAUGCAUAACAUGAUCAGAAUUAAAAUUAAACCAAGUUAAGAAGAUUCCUGCUUUUGCUAGGGAAAACUAUGAGACCAACGCAGGGUGUUGAGCCCUUUAGGAAGCUGGUUGAUGGAUCUAUAGAAUCAAGGUUUGUCUGAAUUCAUGCUACCAAGAAUCUGGCCCUCGAUCUAUCAAACUUACAUCAAUUAUGGUAAAUUCCCUCCUCCACUGUCACCUAAUUACAUAUCCUUAAGGCCAACAACAUUCACCGGUAAAAAUAUCAACUUUUUACAAAUAGAAAUUGUAGACCCUUGUCCAGCAAUAGAGCAUUUGACUUGAGCCCUAGAUAUAGACGAAAACUAUUGAAGAGCUUGGUUGACUAUACAGUUACAUCUAAUUAUGUACAACAAAUUUCUAUCAAAAGAAUUUAAAUCGCAUAACAAGUUCAGUACUAUAUUUCCUUUCUUUUUUAGAUGUAUGUCUCUCGACCUAAUAAAGAUAUUAGCUCCACCUGACAAAUACUUCUUUUCCCUGUUUAAAACACCAAAAACAAGAACUCGUACCGUUUCUGCCGUAUAUCUUCGCAUUCUCGGCAACCUGAAAAAGGGAGGGAAAGCAUAAGGAAACGCUCCAUUUAUGACCACAGCUCGGACUAAACGAGUUAAUGAACGAGCAGAUCAAGAAAGACACGCGUUCCUACCUGGAAAUCCGUAAGACCCUUGGUUGGAUCUACACCAAAUGCUUCGAGAACCUGAGGCCACGGUCAGAAGAACGAGGACUAGAAUCACGAAUUGGUAGAGAUCCAACAUCGAGCGAGAGAGAGCCAGAAUUACCUCGGAGACGGAUCUGGCGUACGCGUCGUUCAUCGAAGAUCAAGCGGCGGAUCGAGAAGAGGAUGAAGACGGAGACGAGGAGUGAAGGGGGACUGGAGAUCUGAAGCAAUGGUGUGUUUUUCGCCGGACAAGAAACCGUAGGUUAGGUCUUUAAGGGGGCCAUCUUGGGGAGGCAACGGCACGUUAACGGAGCUGACGGUGGCGUGGGCUAGAGAAAGGCGUUCCUGACUGACGGAGCGGGCUCAGGUGGGGGCACUCGCCGUUAGUGGGCCGGACACUGGAUGCGCGAGGUUGCCGACGUGGUUAGGAUCCUAAUUGAGAUGGCUCGAUCUUGCUCUAACAUCACAACGGUUAUGGUGCGAAUUGGAGGGUACAUAGAUAAAAGCACAAUUGGAGAGGAUCCACAAUUGGAAGCUAUUUAUUCAAAUAGUUUUUAUCGCAUCAACUUGGAUUUAUUUAGGAAAAGGUCUGUAAGUAAAGAAGCUAAGGUUGCCAACGGCCGGUUUUCUAAUGUCCAAUUGAAUCCGGUCCACGUAAACCAUGUUUAAAUCUAAUAUAAAUUCAUAUAGAAAAUUCAGAUUUCGAGUUCGAACACAUAAAUAGUUCUAUCGCCAAUGUGUUGAAUUUUUAAGAAAUUAAAAAUCGAGUUUAAGCAUUCUUUAACCACUUUUGAAAUGAGUUUACAAUUAGGCGUUUUCAGCUUACAGUAUUAAUUUUCGAACAGAUUCCAAAGAGACGAAAUUGUCUUAAUUUUAAAAAGACGUUUUCAGCUUACAGUAUUAAAUAUCAUCUAAUAUUCUUAGCCACUUUGGAAAGGUUUAAAAUGAUUCUAUAAACGGGACGAGGAUGGCGACCACAAUCAAAUAGAAAUAGAAAGGAAAUACGAUCUAAGCAACACUUUGUGAACAAAAAGAUUUGAAGAGAGAAACAGAAGACUAAAGAAGAUAUAUAGCGUGCAUAGGUUCCUCACAUCAUAAAUGUAGUUACAGAAUUUACCAAUAGCCAAGCUGCAGGGUCGAAACAAUGUGGUCAAUAACAUGUCAUGACAUCCACAUGCAACCUGUGCUAACAGAUUAAUUUUGUAUCAAAAUACUGCAUAUAAUGGUGGUGAAGCUUCCAAAAUGCCGAGUCUUUUUACUUUCGGGUGGACUACUCAAGAAAGAGAUCACAGCUUUACAAACAGUUGUUGCUCAGAAUGAUAGACCACACAACUAAAGCAAACAACAAAAAGGGAAAACAGUGUCAUUUACCUCUUUAAAUUUGCAAGCCAAACAAUUCAAUUAUUCAUCAAAUAUCACAGAAUAUUGAUAAUAUUUCCCAUUUAAAUCUUAAUUUGCAGAGCGAAGAUGGCAAAAAUAUCAUUUAAACACAUACAAGACCCUUGUUAGAAUGGGAAAAAUUAGGAACAUUCAGGUGCUAUUUGCAGUAUCCUAAAAUUGGAAUUACAACAGAAAGACAAAGAAAUAGCCAAUAUAGUGCAGAAGAUGUUAAGAACCAAAGGUGAGAUAAAGAGUAUGUAUAAAGGCUAAAACCUUGUAAUGUUGCAACCAUAUGGAGUCGCUUAAUACAUAUUUUUCCCAUCACUCUGCUUUAUACUAGGUAACAUCUCUGUUUAUAUCAAGAACAUUCAACUCUCUUUUUAUUGUUUCUAAUAAAGUCCUUAUCCAUCCUUCAAACACUAGUGUUAAUCAACUCAUAUUGUCUAAGAACAACAUCUAUAGAUCUUUAUUUCUGUAUAUAUUCAAACCAAAUUUAACGAUUUUUAUUUUUUAUUUUAUUCUUUAUCGAUAUUUUAUAACCUAAUUGCUCAUGAAUGAACACAUUUAAUUGUUUUUUCAUCCUUCCUAGAAAUUUCACACAUACACCUCAGAUGUAUCAUUUCAAUUACAAAUAAAUAAUGUUUCUUAAUUUCACCUUAUACAAGUUACAAAAAUGGCUAUAUUUAGCCAUCAAGACAUAACCAUGCAACUAUUGCUCUCCCAUGCAUGUUUGACAGGAUAGUAAAGGCGUAAUUCACAUCCAAUUAUCUGACUUACAACAAUAUAAAACCAUUAGCAACUACAUCAUCACAAAACAUCAAUACCUACCAUCAUAAUGCUUGCAUUAGGAAACAAUUCGUAACACCUACAUAUCCUCCAUCCCCUGCUUUGAUGAUUUCGGGUAUCCUUUGUAUUCCAACUUAACCCCCAUAUUUGCUGAAAUAAUCCUGAACUUUAGUCUCAUGGCAUCCAUCAUCUCCUGAACAUGCUCAUUUUCAGGGUCCAACAAUGGAUACUUCUUAAGCAGAUCUCUCAGUUGUUGGAUACUUUUUUGGAGCCUAGAUGAGAAUGACCCUGGAUCAACUUGGAUCAGUGAGUUCCACACAUCAACACAGCCCUGAUAAAAGCCAAGCUCCUCCCCAACUUGAAAACCCAUCUUCAAUCCCACCUCUCUCCCCUCCUCUUCACCAGUUUUCAAGCCAUCUCUAUACCCAUCCUUGAAACCUUCUUGGCACAGGGUUUCGUCCAGAAGAACAAUGGAAUCAAAAAUGUCAGAAGCAUCUCCAGAUGUUUGCUCCAUGUUUACAAUGGAGAACUUGAGAAUAAGCUCAGUAGUGUCACCUGGCCCAUAACCAAAAUAAAGGAAAAGCAGCUAAGCAUGAAGAAAACAUUCCAGCUAACUUGAAAAUGUGUAUAUUUGAAGUCAGUAUCUAGCCACCACAUAGAGUUUUUACACAAGCAGCCAACAGCCAUCGCAAAAUCCACCUCUUUACUUUCUUUUCCAAGUUCAUAAAGUAGAAGAAGGCCAUCAACAGCUUACAGACAGCACGACCAAACAUAUAAGGAAGUCUUCUCAUCUCCAAAGAAGAGGAGGGAACCUAAUGCCAGAUUGAUGUUAAGAUUUUUCUUUUUAUACACUCAGUGGUUGGCCCUUUAACUUUGAAUUGCCAAGUAUGUAUUAUUGUUGUUUUUCUUCUAUUUGCAUAUUACCCUCAAGCAGCAUACUAUGGUAAAGUUAAAAUAAAUUCCUUAGAUUCUGUCUUCGAUCUGUGUAUUACCCUCAAGCAAUAUAUUAUGGCAAAGUUAAUAUCAAUUCCUGAGAUUGUGUACAUGGUGCCUGAUAUAUUUGAGGGAAAUAAAAGUGAGAACACUCAUAUUACAAUCAAAUUUUGGUGCUAAAUCAUAUUUUAAGAAAUGAUAGAUCAAACAGGACAACCAUUUGAUAAAUUGUUUUUUUCACCCAGAAUCAAAACAUAACAGCUACAAAGUUGGGAUCGCGAAAGACAUAGUCGCAAGCCAACCAACCUAAAUCAGAAUGUAAAGUCAGGAAAACAUGGUAUCAAGAUCAAAGAAAUCGAAGAGGAUUCCUUGUUUGCAACCAUUCAAGAUGGGAAAGAGAGAAGAAGAAUCCACCUUUGAUCAAGGCUAUCAUCUCGUUAUGCCGGAGAUGGAGCAAAGACCCGAACGAGAUGGAGCGAGGGCAAACCGUGAUAGGGCAGAGAAGUAGAAGAACAAAGGAGUCUGUGGAACUCAGCUACGGUUCAUUUUAUCACCCGGUCUGAAUCGGUCCAUGUUAUAAAAACCGCUCAAUUCGUCGGUCGAUGAGACAGUGCGGUUCGAUUCUAUUGAGCUCCCUUUAAGUCAGCCCGAGUAUGGUUGUUCAACGAUGGAGUGAUAAAGGAAGACUCGAAAAAGGAUACGGCGUAUUGUUAAGAAUAUUUUGUAUAAAAUUUAAUAUAAUAUUUCGGGAAAAAUGUUAGCUUUAGAAAACGUAUAUAAAAGAAAAUUAGUUCGAAAUAAUUUGCCACUUUCAUAAAUAACUUUAAAGAUGAAAAUGAUUACGAUUUAGAAUAAUAAUGAUGAUGAUAAGGGUGUAUAGAGACAAGUUGAGUUUUCACUUUUGAAUAGAGGAGAAUAUUUCUUCUUCUUUCUCUCCACUUCAAGUACACCAACGCAGCUCGGUAGUGUGUAUAAGCUCCAGAAACAACCGGAGGUAAUGUUCUCCCCUAUUUAAAAGUGAAAACUUUUAAAUAGUUUGAACUAGUUUAAAGGUAUUGUUAACAUCAAUCUGGCAUUAGGUUCCCUCCUCUUCUUUGGAGAUGAGAAAACUUCCUUAUAAGUUUCAACUACUAUGUACCAAUCAACAUAUUAAAUAACUUAAUACAGCACAAACCUUGUGCCAACUAGAACAAGCCCAAAUUGCCAAGGGUGUGCCUCCACACCCUCAAUAGAGUAGGACAAAAUACCUUACUUGUACUGUACGGCACACCCACAAGAGCAGGGCACAAUACCUUACUUGAACUGUACACAUUAAAUAACAUGCCUUGGUAAAGUCAGUAUGGAUAUCCUGCUUGAUACUUCCCAGGACAGGUAUGUAACUGAUCCAAGUCAAGAAAUAGACACUUUCUUUUUGAAGUCCAAGAGUACUAGGUUUAGGCUUACGAUUAGAAUUUUCUAUAUUCAAUAAAGGGAUAUAUAUAUAUUCAUUCCUGUUUGAACACAAAUUUGACUUAUGAGGAUUAAGUAACACGAAAAGAGUUUUGAUGGCUAAUGGAUUUAGUUAUUGCUGAUGUCUCUUCAUUCAGAUUGUUGUUUUUCCUAUUGCCUCUCUCAGAUGUCUUUUUCUUAUUUCCUUAUUCCACAUUUUUUUAACAGACUUCUUCCUGCUUUUAAAUUUGAGAAAAUUACCAAAAAAAGUCCCAAUAUUUUGGAACUCAUUUGUUUGUUCACUUAAUCCUGUUUUUAUACAAUAUUAAGUACAUCAGUUUUACACCAUGUAAAAGUAUCCCAAGUGCCCUCUUUUGCCCACAAACCUUUACUGCACAGCACCAUUAAGAUACCAGCAGUGUCCAAGCCACUUGUUAAAUAAGAAGUUUGGUAUGCUAGUUGAAUCUGGUUACAAAUGCUUUUAGCCUUUCAGUGAAACAAAGAUGAGUUAGCUCAAGUAACAUCCCCUCAAGGUUAACAUCAACCAUAAACACGACUACCAAGGUGGACACUCUCUAAACUUGAACAUUAAUUAACAGAUUCAAUUGCCAGCCCUUGUAAACAACCUGCAUAUGUUGAAAUUCAUACUAGCACCAUCAAGCUUGGCAUGCACAUAAGAAUACUAUU
rnacentral:lncRNA from 1 species